rnacentral:rRNA from 1 species
CUACGGGUCGCACCAGUGAGGAAUAUUGCACAAUGGGGGGAACCCUGAUGCAGCAACGCCGCGUGGAGGAUGACGCAUUUCGGUGUGUAAACUCCUUUUAUAUGUCAAGAAAGUGACGGUAGCAUAUGAAUAAGCACCGGCUAACUCCGUGCCAGCAGCCGCGGUAAUACGGAGGGUGCAAGCGUUACUCGGAAUCACUGGGCGUAAAGGACGCGUAGGCGGGUUGGAAAGUCAGGUGUGAAAUCCUACAGCUUAACUGUAGAACUGCACUUGAAACUUCUAAUCUAGAGUAUGGGAGGGGGAGAUGGAAUUAGUGGUGUAGGGGUAAAAUCCGUAGAUAUCACUAGGAAUACCUAAAGCGAAGGCGAUCUCCUGGAACAUUACUGACGCUAAGGCGUGAAAGCGUGGGGAGCAAACAGGAUUAGAACCCUGGUAGUC